rnacentral:ncRNA from 2 species
UUCUUCAAGGAGCGUUGCGAGGAUGUUUUCUUAUUUAAGAAAACACCCCAGGCUUGAAGGGGCUCUUAUGGGUCUUAGCAACGGCGCUCACUAACC